UACGAAGGGGGCUAGCGUUGUUCGGAAUUACUGGGCGUAAAGCGCGUGUAGGCGGGUCUUUAAGUCAGGGGGUGAAAUGCCAGGGCUCAACCUUGGAACUGCCUUUGAUACUGGAGACCUUGAGUCCGGGGAGAGGUGAGUGGAAUUGCGAGUGUAGAGGUGAAAUUCGUAGAUAUUCGCAAGAACACCAGUGGCGAAGGCGGCUCACUGGCCCGGAACUGACGCUGAGACGCGAAAAGCGUGGGGAGCAAACAGG
rnacentral:rRNA from 1 species